CUAUCACCCAAUUAGACUCCAAAAUUAUGUACAAACUGACUGGGCUCUCUACUGGGAUAUCUGGUCUUCGAGGAACUGUGGUUGGCUGAGGUUCUCCCUUGGCUGACUUUGUUGAUCUCAUUUUUCCUCCUGGAUACACAACUAGCCACUCUCUCUUUACAUUCUAUGAUUUGGGUUCUGCUCUUCUAUCCCAUCAGCUGUCAAUCCCAUUCCGCGCCUUGGUACUUCUUGAUCUUAUCUCCUCCUUUCGCAGUCAUAUCGACGCACCCCAGUGUUUCUCACCGGUAGUGAUGCACGCUGAAUUUUAUAGAGUGAGCGGCCAUCCUUGCCUAGAAGAUAGGUCGAGGCCUUUUGAACUUCUUCUUUACCCACCUGGGACAUGCAUUUCGACCAGCCCGGUAAAGUUAGGUUUCCUACCCGCUGGGUGCAAGCCCUAAAAAUGCCAGCGUGAAAAUAGUUGUAUUGCGUGGGUUUGGUCAACUAUAUAUACA
rnacentral:sRNA from 1 species